GACGAACGCUGGCGGCGUGCUUAACACAUGCAAGUCGAACGAAGAGCGAUGGAAGCUUGCUUCUAUCAAUCUUAGUGGCGAACGGGUGAGGAACGCGUAAUCAACCUGCCCUUCAGAGGGGGACAACAGUUGGAAACGACUGCUAAUACCGCAUACGAUCUAAUCUCGGCAUCGAGGAAAGAUGAAAGGUGGCCUCUAUUUAUAAGCUAUCACUGAAGGAGGGGAUUGCGUCUGAUUAGCUAGUUGGAGGGGUAACGGCCCACCAAGGCGAUGAUCAGUAGCCGGUCUGAGAGGAUGAACGGCCACAUUGGGACUGAGACACGGCCCAGACUCCUACGGGAGGCAGCAGUGGGGAAUCUUCCGCAAUGGACGAAAGUCUGACGGAGCAACGCCGCGUGAGUGAUGACGGCCUUCGGGUUGUAAAGCUCUGUUAAUCGGGACGAAAGGCCUUCUUGCGAACAGUUAGAAGGAUUGACGGUACCGGAAUAGAAAGCCACGGCUAACUACGUG
rnacentral:rRNA from 1 species